GACGAACGCUGGCGGCGUGCUUAACACAUGCAAGUCGAACGGAAAGGCCCUGCUUUUGUGGGGUGCUCGAGUGGCGAACGGGUGAGUAACACGUGAGUAACCUGCCCUUGACUUUGGGAUAACUUCAGGAAACUGGGGCUAAUACCGGAUAGGAGCUCCUGCUGCAUGGUGGGGGUUGGAAAGUUUCGGCGGUUGGGGAUGGACUCGCGGCUUAUCAGCUUGUUGGUGGGGUAGUGGCUUACCAAGGCUUUGACGGGUAGCCGGCCUGAGAGGGUGACCGGCCACAUUGGGACUGAGAUACGGCGCAGACUCCUACGGGAGGCAGAAGUGGGGAAUAUUGCACAAUGGGCGGAAGCCUGAUGCAGCAACGCCGCGUGCGGGAUGACGGCCUUCGGGUUGUAAACCGCUUUCGCCUGUGACGAAGCGUGAGUGACGGUAAUGGGUAAAGAAGCACCGGCUAACUACGUG
rnacentral:rRNA from 1 species